AUCCACCUGACGAGUCUAAAAUAGGACGAAACGCGCAUCUUGGAU
rfam:Schistosoma rodhaini strain Burundi genome assembly, scaffold: SROB_scaffold0005443